rnacentral:pre_miRNA from 1 species
UAAAUACUCUCUCCGUACUUAAAUUCUUGUCGAAAUAUUACAUGUAUCUAGACACUUUUUAGAAUUAGAUACAUCCAGUUUUGGGCAAAUUUGAGACAAGAAUUUAGAAACGAAGGGAGUACUCC